UCUGUCUGGGGGUGGACAUGGUGUUUAGGUCCACACACUGAGAUGAAAAUUCACAAAAGGAGACUGAUCUGUAUUCCCUUUGUCAACCAGACUUGAACUAUUUAUACUGGCGGUGUCUCUCAUACCACUGGAAACUGGAAGGAAAUCUACAGUGUGAACCUCCGGGAGUUUUAAAAAGACAGCAGCCGUUAUUCGGUGGUGAUGGGUUCAGGCUGUCCUUGAGCCUAGUUACAUACAGCCUUAUGCUCUACCCUGGAUCUCAGCUCUGUAGGAUGGCCAUGUUUGACUAAGAAGUCUGACAGAUGAGCACAAAUGUUUUGCAAAUAUCACUGACAACAUAAAAACUAUUGAGGACAAUGCAUUCUAAGGCUACAGUCACACUGGCUGUAUCUCAAGUUUGCCUUGUGAAUACUCUUGCCAUCCUCAACCUGACUACAGGUCACUACCUUUUUAGAAAAAAGCUCACAUCUCCAGAUUCUUGGUUCCCAUUUGUCACCUUUGCUGGGAAAUAUGGGCCAUUAAGUUGAACUUUUCCCUGCAAAGCAAGAAUAUAGCUAUUUGGAAAUCAAAGUGUCAUGUAAAAAAUUCCUGAAUACUUGCCUAAUUUUUAUCAAGAAUACAAAUUUUGUUUUUCUCCUCCCAAUUUUGUUAAUGUUGCAAUGAAGAAUUCAGCUGAAAUACCAUUUCUUUGCAAAAACACCCCACAUCUACCCCUUAGACAACUUGACUUUGUGUAACAUAUGUUUAAGGUAUAAUACAGCAUUUAACCUGCGAUUCAUUGAGAGCCAACUAUGUCUCAGUGACUGUUAUGAGUACUUUACAUAUGUUGUUACACCUCACUUAAUUGUCACCACAGAACUAAGUAUUAUCUUUUUAUACAUGGGGAACCUGAUACCUCAUAAACAGAAAGUUUAUGGGGCAGAUCUGGGUUUCAAACCUAGGUCUCUGUCUCCAGGACUCAAUUUUCUUUCCUGUACUCCAUAUGGUCUUUUCCUGGAGGUGAAAGAAGGGCAUCCUUAAGGAUGUCCAAAUUAAGCUCAUUGGGGGGAAUUUUCUAACGUGUUGUGAUGUUUAAAUUAGGGAGAUAUUUGAAGAUAGGUGCCCUCAUUGGGGCUAUAAAAUAAAAAGCCUUUGGCUUUAUCAAUAGGAAAGUCUCCAAUUUACAAUCUUAUUGUACUGCCCUACCUUCUCCCUACUCUGAAAGUCCUUCCUCUUCUCCUGCUCAAGCAGCAAUCUCAGUCCCCAGGGUAAAGUCCAAAGAAUUUACCAGGCAUAUUUAAGGCCUAAGAGUUGAUAUGAGGGCAGCCCGGGUGGCUCAGCGGUUUAGCACCGCCUUCAGCCCAGGGUGUGAU